rnacentral:rRNA from 1 species
GAUGAACGCUAGCGGCAGGCUUAACACAUGCAAGUCGAGGGGUAACAGUCUUGAUUUAUCAAGAGCUGACGACCGGCGCACGGGUGCGCAACGCGUAUAGAACCUACCUUUUACAGAGGAAUAGCCCGAAGAAAUUUGGAUUAAUGCCUCAUAUAAUUUUCCUAUGGCAUCAUAAGAAGAUAAAAGAUUUAUCGGUAAAAGAUGGCUAUGCGUUCUAUUAGUUAGUUGGCGAGUUAACAGCUCCCCAAGACAUCGAUAGAUAGGGGUCCUGAGAGGGAGAUCCCCCACACUGGUACUGAGACACGGACCAG